rnacentral:antisense_RNA from 1 species
UUCGCGGUGUACUCCCAGAUCCCGUCCGGGGUGGUCAGCACGUUUUCGCCGAAGUAGUCGCCGUUCAGCAUCGUGCCGAGCACGGUCUGGUCGCCGAAGGCGCCGACCCCGGCCUUGGUGAUCUUGCCGUGCGCGAUGAGGAACACCUGGUCGGCGCGGCUGCCGAAUUCGGCCAGCACGUCGCCCGGCUGGUAUUCGCGCUGUUCGAACCGGCCGGCCAGCUCGGCCAGCGCCGCCUCGUCGUCGAAUCCGCGCAGCGGCGCGAGCUCCCCGAGUUCGGGCGGGAUGACCCGGACCUCGGAGCCGCUGGUCACGAACGUGACCCGGCCGUCGCCGACGGUGUAGGACAGCCGCCGGUUGACGCGGUACGUGCCCGCGGACACCUCGACCCACGGCAGCACCUUCAGCAGCCACCGCGUGCUGAUGCCCUGCAUCUGCGGCACGGACUUCGUGGUCGUGGCCAGUUGCCGCGCCGCCGCGCGGCCUAGGCUCAAGGGUUCCUGG